UUUUGCAUUCUCCUCGUUGGCUAACACCGUAGUAGAGCCAUUGGAGCCUUUAGCCAACUCAAGGUCUUAUUGAAAACAACAGAAGGGGAAGUUUCCUGCAUUUACAUAAUUUGUUCUGUUACUACAUUUAGAAUCGAUAAACUCAUCAAUCACUAAGCAUGUAAGACAAAGAUGAUAUGUUGAUGCUCUCGUCUUAUUGUUGUUGCAAAGAUUUUGUACGCGAUUUAUUCAUGAUUUAUUCUUCAAGCUAUCUGUUCACUUAGAUGCCCGCUAUCAUAAAAUUGUCUUGAAAUGCAGCAAAUGUCAACAAAGGUUAUUUCUUUUCUACUUUGUAGUAUAGUUAGCAAAGAUGAGAAACCUUAGCUCAGUUAAGCAAUUUGAAGACACUAAAAAAUGGAGGAUAACAUGAGAAAAGCAUUUUAAGUUACCCGAUUGCAGGAACUCAACUCUUACAUGAAUCAUUCAGUGAUUUAAGAUGGGAGCAAGGUCUUCCAAGUGAUGUCUCAUCUGAACAAAGUUAAUUCCUUUCUACACCCUCUAUUCAAUGACGUAUGACACAUUUUUUUAAAUACAAGCAAGCUUUUGACAAGUUUAACAAUGGCUGCAAUGUUGUAAGUAUACUAGUCACAAGACUCAAAACUGUCAAGAUUCAAUUCCACUAAGACUUUCAACAUUAUAUUACACCAAUGAGUAUACGUGACUCACAAAGUUCAGCCAGAAUAUAAUGAGUUCUUACUUCAAGACAUCCAAUUUUCACUCUUCA
rnacentral:lncRNA from 1 species